ensembl:lncRNA
AAGCCCAGCUCCCUCAUCCUGUCUUUGUAGGAGUGGUGCUCCAGCCCCCUGAUCAUCUUUGUGGCCCUACUCUGGACCCUCUCCAACCAAGGCCUGCGUUUACCAAAUGACAAACAAGUAGUAAUGAUUCUACAUAAACAAAUAGAAAAAAAUUGCAAUGAUCAUCUUCAAAAAUAAGAUUUUAUCAAAACAACCGUGUCUGUGGGGCAGACUGCUGUUUUAAGCCAGAGAUAGGGGCUGCUCAUCCAAUAAAUGUAUUUGCAUUUGUCACAAUAAAUAUUUUUCAAAGUUACUCCUCCAAAACAGGAUGUUCAUGUAUGCAUCCUGUUUGUCCAUACUGUAUAUCCAUAUGUCAGUGCUGGGAGAUUACAAUUCUGGGAUGUGCACUGCUGACCUCUGGUGUCACAGAUGACACAGAAUCACAGAAUCGGAGGGGUUGCGAGGGACCUCUGGGGAUCAUUGAGUCCAACCCCCUGCUAAAGCAGGUCCCUAGAGUGGGUUACACAGGAAAGCAUCCAAGCAGGUCUUGUAUAUCCCCAGAGGAGACUCCACAGCCUCUCUGUGCAGCCUGUUCCUGUGCUCUGGUGCGUUAUAUUCAAGGCCUCAGUGCAAGGAACACUGUUUUACCACAGAAACAAAGACACAGUGUGCAAAUGUAGGGUUCAGCCUCUCAUUGCAGAUGUUGUGUUCCGGUGAACGGUCUCUUCCAAAGCCAUAUCUGAAAAUCUAUGCGUGUGAUUCAAGGCCUGCCAUUAUGUGUGUUUAUAAGCAGAUGACAGUUGGUGAGAAUAAAUUAUCAUGCAUCACUAGUCAAAGUAAUAAUAAAAAAAAAACAACCACCAUGUAACUGAAAAUGAGUAGUAAUUAUUUUCCAGUCCUUUCAGACCAUUUACUAAUCACUGACAAAGACUAAUGGAAUUUAUAUACAAGAUAAAAUUUCAUGAUUAAAAAUGGCCAGAGACUCUAAAAGCAGUCAUAUUGUAGAUAAUGAAAGAGCUGCCAUGAAACACUGCACCCAUCCCAUGACAGUGCACUGGGAAAAUUUCUUCUCCUACUGAUCUGUACAACAAAGACUGUGCUUUUAAUAUGGACAUUAAAC